CUUGUUGUCAUAGUUCUUGUAGCUAUGAGUGCAUCAUAAAAGGAGCCAGAAGUUGGGAAUUUAGCUCAGUGGUAGAGCGCUUGCCUAGCAAGCGCAAGGCCCUGGAAUUGGUCCCCAGCUCCGAAAAAAAAAAGGAUCCAGAAAUGAAGGAGGAGAACUGACCAGAACUCUGGCUGCAUGUUUGAAGGACUGCUAAACUGCCCACACAGAAGCGUGCUUCAUAACACCUCAGCAAAAUGUCCAUUUCAGAUAAAUGAACCACGUGAUCGCAAAGUUUCUGAUGCUGGCCCUCACAGAGCCCUACGGGAUCACCAAGGAAGGCCAACCAAGCAGAAGAAAAAGAUGCAUUUAGACUGAAAUCUGGAGUGUAGUUUUGUACUCUGGUUCCUUUUAGGUUCUUUAAACACUUCAUCUGAAGUCACAGGAAAUGAGCCAAUUGAGAAGAAUCGGUUAUUCUACCUACCUCCAUGUCUUCACAUUCAGAAGAACUAGAUGAGAAACUUGGGAACAAUACCUCCUAAACCUUCCUCUCCAUGUUCUUGCUAGAAGAAACAUCCAAAAGAUAGUCUCAUUAUUUCCAAAUCUUCUGCCAUGUGGAAACAUUUUCUUUUUACACUCAGGUAUUAAAGGAUUAGUGACCUCACAGGGUUAGAAAGAGUGCUAUCUUAUCAUUUAAUGAGAAAACAUUGAAGACAAGGGCUUGUAGAUGAGCCCUACCUACUAUGUUGAAUGAACUUUUAUGGACUAUAUGAAAUCAUUAUGUUCUCAGGAUACUAACCCUAACCCAGUCUCUUAAAUCUCACUAUAUAAGAAAAGUUUUCUAUUACUUUGUAAAUCCUGCUAGCAUAGAAAAGACCACAUGAUAUAUCUUUUAAAAGACCUUAAUGACUUAUUUAAAAACCCCUGGGUUCAACAGCUUCUUUUUGUCAAAUUUGGUAAUUCUUCCCAGGUGAUGUUCUGCUUCCAAUGUGUGUUCUUCUUAAGGGAGGUGCUAGCUUUCUGUCUGAGAAACAAGACCAUUUUUCAGUGAUUCAGAGGACAAAACCUGCUGCUGCCCAAUCUACUGGGUGAGAUUGGAACAUUCGAUUGGUUUAUUCAGUAUAAUCUCAUAAUAUUCUAGAAUGGCAACAUCCUGGGAUGGUAAGGAAUGGAUAUGGAAGAGAAAACCUGAGAGCAGGGGGACAUUAAUUCAACUGACUCUUCUUUUUAUUAGAAUGCUUUCUCUCUUGAGGACUGAUGGUGGGUUGUAUGUCCAUUUGUUUUCUGGAGGUUAUUAGGGAAGCCAUGAUUUACUGAGAAACUUAAUAAAGGACGAGACAGACAAGAUUGAUCAGCAUUUGUCAUGAUGGAAAAACAUUCUUUGAAUACAGUUCUCAUGAUUCAUCUUGAGAAGGACAACACACCUACAAUAUGAGAAGAAGAAAAAAAUCUGCUGAAAUUCUUCGUAUCUUAAAAUAAUUUCAAGUGUACAGUUUAGCAUCACUGGAAAACAUGAAGGGAAAAGCAGUAUAAAUAUAUUUACUUUUGUCACCAAUGAAGUUUUAUAUUUAAAUAAGCACCUAAAAUUUCUAGCAUACUUUACUGAAGAUAGGAUUGAGACAAUUUCUAAGCUUCUGACCAUAUUGUCUCUUCUAUGACGUGAUGAGUAACUGGGACUCAUGGUCAUAUUUCAUUCAAAUAUUCAUAUAUUUUACUUGCAUUGAUUAUAAACCAACUAUUAAAAUAUAUUGAUUGACAUGGGAGAUUUGAA